GGCGGCGUGCUUAACACAUGCAAGUCGAGCGGAAAGGCCCUUCGGGGUACUCGAGCGGCGAACGGGUGAGUAACACGUGAGCAACCUGCCCUAGGCUUUGGGAUAACCCCGGGAAACCGGGGCUAAUACCGAAUAGGACUGCUGGCCGCAUGGCUGGUGGUGGAAAGUUUUUCGGCCUGGGAUGGGCUCGCGGCCUAUCAGCUUGUUGGUGGGGUGAUGGCCUACCAAGGCGACGACGGGUAGCCGGCCUGAGAGGGCGACCGGCCACACUGGGACUGAGACACGGCCCAGACUCCUACGGGAGGCAGCAGUGGGGAAUAUUGCACAAUGGGCGGAAGCCUGAUGCAGCGACGCCGCGUGAGGGAUGACGGCCUUCGGGUUGUAAACCUCUUUCAGCAGGGACGAAGCGCAAGUGACGGUACCUGCAGAAGAAGCGCCGGCCAACUACGUGCCAGCAGCCGCGGUAAGACGUAGGGCGCGAGCGUUGUCCGGAUUUAUUGGGCGUAAAGAGCUCGUAGGCGGCUUGUCGCGUCGACUGUGAAAACCCGCAGCUCAACUGCGGGCCUGCAGUCGAUACGGGCAGGCUAGAGUUCGGUAGGGGAGACUGGAAUUCCUGGUGUAGCGGUGAAAUGCGCAGAUAUCAGGAGGAACACCGGUGGCGAAGGCGGGUCUCUGGGCCGAUACUGACGCUGAGGAGCGAAAGCGUGGGGAGCGAACAGGAUUAGAUACCCUGGUAGUCCACGCUGUAAACGUUGGGCGCUAGGUGUGGGGGGCCUCUCCGGUUCCCUGUGCCGCAGCUAACGCAUUAAGCGCCCCGCCUGGGGAGUACGGCCGC
rnacentral:rRNA from 1 species